rnacentral:piRNA from 1 species
UUGACUUUCAGGAAUUGUGCAUAGCAGGU